AUGAAGAGCUUCCCCGUGGCCGGCGGCCGUAGCGUCUCCCUCGCCCUCUUCUCCGAUGUCUCCAACAGCCAGGAGCUCCUCGACCUGAUGCAGUCGGGGAAGCUGGAGCCAGAGGCCGCUUUUAUCAAUGCAUCGCUGGUGCCGGAUGUGUUCCCGGUUCUUGCGGCAGCGCACAAGGCGCUGCUCUCGAAGUCGAGGGAGUCGCUGACUACGAGGACCCUGCACUCCGAGCUCGUCUACAACUACUCUGGUUCGAAGCAUAUAUCAGAGUCCCUGAAGCGAUGCGGUAUCGCUGAUGACACACAGUAUAUCCUCGCAGCUCGGUUUGAUGCUUCAGAUGAAGAGAUGAAAGCACUGGAAAAGCUCAUCAGCGGAACCGAGAUUGAUCUAUCGGAAUUGGAGUCAAGAGCAAACCAACCAAAGAUUCUGAAGCAAUACAAAAUAACUCCACAGGAACUAUCAAUAUCUACACUGCCAGAUGCAAUCGUUUGCAGGAUUGCUGCUCGAGACGCCCUCUGA
rnacentral:rRNA from 1 species